rnacentral:siRNA from 1 species
AUCGACCAAUGGUGUACCGCAGA